GUUACUGCUAUCGGGGUUCGAUUAGGCCAUGCAAGUUAAAUGUUUUUCGUAAACAUAGCGAACUGCUCAGUAACACGUGGAUAACUUAACCUUAGGUCCGGCAUAACCCCGGGAAACUGGGGAUAAUUCCGGAUGUAUCAAGGAUGCUGGAAUGCCCUUUGGUUCAAAGCUUUUGUGCCUAAGGAUAGGUCUGCGGUCUAUCAGGUAGUAGUGGGUGUAACGUACCUACUAGCCGACGACGGAUACGGGUUGUGAGAGCAAGAGCCCGGAGAUGGAUUCUGAGACACGAAUCCAGGCCCUACGGGGUGCAGCAGGCGCGAACACUUUACAAUGCGGGAAACCGCGAUAAGGGAACCCCGAGUGCCAGUACUAAGUGCUGGCUGUCUAGAUGAAUAGAUAUCAUUUAAUAGCAAGGGCCGGGCAAGACCGGUGCCAGCCGCCGCGGUAACACCGGCGGCCCGAGUGGUAACCGAUAUUAUUGGGUCUAAAGGGUCCGUAGCCUGUUUAAUAAGUCCUUUGGGAAAUCUGGCAGCUUAACUGUCAGGCUGCUAAAGGAUACUGUUAAACUUGGGACCGGUAGACGUAGGGGGUACUCCAGGGGUAGGAGUGAAAUCUUGUAAUCCCUGGGGGACCAUCUGUGGCGAAGGCGCCCUACGAGAACGGGUCCGACGGUGAGGGACGAAAGCUAGGGGAGCAAACCGGAUUAGAUACCCGGGUAGUCCUAGCUGUAAACGAUGCUCGCUAGGUGUCAGGCACGGUGCGUCCGUGUCUGGUGCCGCAGGGAAGCCGUUAAGCGAGCCACCUGGGGAGUACGGUCGCAAGGCUGAAACUUAAAGGAAUUGGCGGGGGAGCACUACAACGGGUGGAGCCUGCGGUUUAAUUGGAGUCAACGCCGGA
rnacentral:rRNA from 1 species